rnacentral:rRNA from 1 species
AGACCGGUUACUGGUCGUGCUUUUGUACGUACUGGUAUUAUUGGUUUCUCCUUUCUGACGAAUCUUAAUGCCAUUAAUUUGGUGUUGUGGGGAAUCAGGACUGUUACCUUGAGAAAAUUAGAGUGUUUAAAGCAGGCUCACGCUUGAAUACAUUAGCAUGGAAUAAUGAAAUAGGACGUUUGAUUCUAUUUUGUUGGUUUCUAGGAUCGACGUA